rnacentral:rRNA from 1 species
UACGUAGGGUGCAAGCGUUAAUCGGAAUUACUGGGCGUAAAGCGUGCGCAGGCGGUUUUGUAAGACAGAGGUGAAAUCCCCGGGCUCAACCUGGGAACUGCCUUUGUGACUGCAAGGCUUGAGUGCGGCAGAGGGGGAUGGAAUUCCGCGUGUAGCAGUGAAAUGCGUAGAUAUGCGGAGGAACACCGAUGGCGAAGGCAAUCCCCUGGGCCUGCACUGACGCUCAUGCACGAAAGCGUGGGGAGCGAACAGG